rnacentral:rRNA from 1 species
UACGGAGGGGGCAAGCGUUGUUCGGAUUUACUGGGCGUAAAGCGCGCGCAGGCGGUCCUUUAAGUCUGAUGUGAAAGCCCACGGCUCAACCGUGGAGGGUCAUUGGAAACUGGGGGACUUGAGUGCAGAAGAGGAAAGUGGAAUUCCAUGUGUAGCGUUGAAAUGCGUAGAGAUGUGGAGGAACACCAGUGGCGAAGGCGACUUUCUGGUCUGUAACUGACGCUGAGGCGCGAAAGCGUGGGGAGCAAACAGG